rnacentral:rRNA from 1 species
CCAAUAGCGUAUAUUAAAGUUGUUGCAGUUAAAAAGCUCGUAGUUGAACUUCGGGGUCUACCCAUUGGUCAGGCUUAAUUGUCUGCACUGGUGAGAUGGAUCUCUACCUUCUGAGGAACUUUCAUGCCAUUUAUUUGGUGUGAUGGGAAAUCAGGACUGUUACUUUGAAAAAAUUAGAGUGUUUAAAGCAGACUAUCGUCUGAAUACAUUAGCAUGGAAUAAUGAAAUAGGACGGACUGAUUCUAUUUCGUUGGUUUCUAGGAUCACCGUAAUGAUUAAUAGGGAUAGUUGGGGGCAUUAGUAUUCAAUUGUCAGAGGUGAAAUUCUUGGAUUUAUUGAAGACUAACUACUGCGAAAGCAUUUGCCAAGGAUGUUUUCAUUAAUCAAGAACGAAAGUUAGGGGAUCGAAGACGAUCAGAUACCGUCGUAGUCUUAACCAUAAACUAUGCCGACUAGGGAGCGGAUGAUGUUAAUUUUUUAAUGACUCAUUCGGCGCCUUACG